UUUUGAUAUGUGCCAUGCAUAUAUUCGUCGACGUUUCCGGUACCGCCACCAACCGCUAUUGUGCACCGCUUGGGAAAAACGUGAUAUUAAAAUCGGACUAAAUCAUUCUAAGAUCAUCGAUAAGCUUAGGAGCGUUGCUUUGGGCUCGGAUUAAAUUCUAAAGAGGAGCCUAGUGACGCGAAUGUGGAAAAGAUGAAUUAUCGAUGGAGCCAAUGUGUUUAGCCUAUUUCUAUUUCGUGUCAUUGUCUUAUCUUUUGAGCAUUUUAUAUGUAUUCGACUUCGAAUCCAAUGAUCGGUAUAUCUGAAUGAGCUAUGAAAUAGUUAGGAAUGAGGAAUGGUGGAUGCUAAGUAUUAUUUUGGGUGUUUAUGACUUAUUAAAUUUAACUAUUUGGUGAU